UACGGGGGGAGCGAACGUUGUUCGGAAUCACUGGGCGUAAAGGGCGUGUAGGCGGCUGAAUAAGUGGGAUGUUAAAUCCCCCGGCUCAACCGGGGACCUGCAUCUCAUACUGUUCAGCUCGAGCACAUCAGAGGAGACUGGAAUUCCCGGUGUAGCGGUGAAAUGCGUAGAUAUCUGGAGGAACACCGGUGGCGAAGGCGGGUCUCUGGGCCGAUACUGACGCUGAGGAGCGAAAGCGUGGGGAGCGAACAGG
rnacentral:rRNA from 1 species